rnacentral:ncRNA from 11 species
UGACAGAAGAGAGUGAGCACA